UACGUAGGGACCAAGCGUUGUUCGGAUUUACUGGGCGUAAAGGGCGCGUAGGCGGCAAAUUAAGUCAGCUGUGAAAUCUCCGAGCUUAACUCGGAACGGUCAGCUGAUACUGAUCUGCUAGAGUGCGGAAGGGGCAAUCGGAAUUCUUGGUGUAGCGGUGAAAUGCGUAGAUAUCAAGAGGAACACCUGAGGUGAAGACGGGUUGCUGGGCCGACACUGACGCUGAGUGCGCGAAAGCCAGGGGAGCAAACGGG
rnacentral:rRNA from 1 species